UUUUUUUUUUUGUCACGUUAAAAGAUUUUUUUAGGGUUAAUGGUAAAAUAAGCAUCAAAGUUGUAAUUUGACCACAAUUUUUUUCUUCACCCUUUAUUUUUUUUUACGCUAAAAAAAUGCAUAUAUAUUUUUUUUAAAGAAAACAAUUGUAAAAUUUAAAGAAUUGUAUAUUUAUUCUUCUCUUUACUAUUUUUUAUACGACAUAUUUUAUUUGGUUUCUUCAUUAUAAUUAUGAUCUUUUCUUAUAUUUUUUGUAAACACACAUUUUUGUACUAAUCUGUCAUGAAAAAAAAAUCGAUUGAGGAAGUAACCCCGUCUUUUCUUAUAUCCAAUUCAUUUACAAUAAUUGCAUAAAAAAUAAAUAAAUUGGUGUAUUUUUUUAUAUAAAUAACGACAAAUUAAAAUAAUCAUCUCCAUUUUAAUUAGUUUUUGUUGUCAUGAACAUAUAUAGAUGAUGAAGUUAUUUGAGAAAGAGUUUAGGAGUUCAACAUAACAGUAAAGCAACAUGUGAAUCCAACAUAACAUAACAAGCAAUGGGAGAAGAGAAAAAAAAAAAAAAUCAAUCAAUUAAAUGACAAUUAUUGUUUUUUUAUUUUGUGGUGAUAAGUGUUGACUACAAUAGAAAAUAUAAUUAAAGCCUACCAUAUCAAUUAAUCUAAGUCAUCAAUCAAAAUUGCAAUUAAAAGUUAAGAUUUGGAAUAAGUUAUUACACUUACUCUUGGAGUCAAAAUAUCUUCCCUCAUAUAUAUAUAUAUAUAUAUAUAUAUAUAUACACACACACACACACACACUCGUGUGUGUGUGAAGUGUUGCUUACUCUUAUUACUGCUCAGCUAAAAUCAAUCUUUGACGUUGUUAAUGAAACGCUCGCGGAAACAAAGUGUUGCAGAAGAUGAUUCAAACAAGCAACUUUCAUGCACACAUUGUAGUUCAAAACAUAAGGGUACGGUAUUCCAGAACAGUUGACAACUAUGCACUACCACUUGGGGGGACACCAUUUCGGGAGUUUAGAGUAUUUGUCAGCAGGUGAUUUAUGCUUGUAGAGGGUGCAUAUUGAUACAUCUGUUAUUCAUUUUCGCAUGUAUAUGAGCUUUACUUUUAAAAAGUUGUUAACGUAUCUUAGCCGUAUCUUAGCCAUAUCGUAUUCAAAAUUAUUUUAACAUCAUAUCAGCAUCGUAUCACAUCUUGGAUUUUAGAGGCCACUCGCCAUGAAUAAAACACGGCCCUGUGCCACUGUCAUCUUUGUGAAACACUGGCUCGUGUUUGUACAUUCUCUACUACUAUGCACACAAUUAUUUCAGAUUUA